rnacentral:rRNA from 1 species
AUUGAACGCUGGCGGCAUGCCUUACACAUGCAAGUCGAACGGUAACAGGUCUUCGGAUGCUGACGAGUGGCGAACGGGUGAGUAAUACAUCGGAACGUGCCCGAUCGUGGGGGAUAACGGAGCGAAAGCUUUGCUAAUACCGCAUACGAUCUACGGAUGAAAGCAGGGGACCGCAAGGCCUUGCGCGGACGGAGCGGCCGAUGGCAGAUUAGGUAGUUGGUGGGAUAAAAGCUUACCAAGCCGACGAUCUGUAGCUGGUCUGAGAGGACGACCAGCCACACUGGGACUGAGACACGGCCCAGACUCCUACGGGAGGCAGCAGUGGGGAAUUUUGGACAAUGGGCGAAAGCCUGAUCCAGCCAUGCCGCGUGCAGGAUCAAGGCCUUCGGGUUGUAAACUGCUUUUGUACGGAACGAAAAGACUCUUUCUAAUAAAGAGGGUCCAUGACGGUACCGUAAGAAUAAGCACCGGCUAACUACGUG